UCAUACACGCUCCGUUAAGAAUGCCGACGAUUUUGAGCACUAAUACUCUAAUCACUUUCGCUGGAUUUGUGCUUCUGUGCGCGAUACAAAGUGAAGGCCCCUUAUCCGCGCUGGCAGAUCCAUAUCCUGGGCCAGGUCUGCCAAGGAAAAACUCCGCAAAGCGAAGUGGAAUGGGUCAGCUAGGUAGCACUGGAGAACUGUCAAAUAGUCAUGAGCCUCAACCACGAAGGGCUAUACAAAGUGGUAAUCACCAAACAAUGCAUACAAAUAUGAAAACAAAACAACAAAAGAAAAGUGCUGGAACACCCAGCCGGCAUGCACGGAGCGCGGAACGCGAAGCGAGCCGUCUAAGAAGAAUUAAACAGUUAAGCAGAGGUUUAAGAGUUCCGACUCUCUAAAUCAGCAUCCUCAUCACCAUUUGACAGAAUGUUUACAUAUACAAAAUCUGUGACAUCUGACAGCUUUCAGUCUAGACAGUCAAUGGCGUUCCUCGCAAAACGGUGCAUCUUGAAACAAGGGUGCUUACGUUUGCCGGCGUCCAAAUGUGCCAUGCAGGCCAAAAUGCUUAAGAAAAAUUGUAAUUCAAGGAGCAGCACCGGCGAACCUUAUUGACAACUUGUAGCGCCUGCCGUACAGACAAUGCGUUACAAAAGGGA